GAGAGAGAACUUAAACCCUCGCCAAAUUUAAUUUCGUUUUUUUGCAAUCCGUAACUCCAAUAAAAAAUCUAAUCCAGUAAAAGUAUUUGCAUCCUCCUUCUCUAUACGUUGAUACCACUUUUGAUUGGUAGAAGUUGACAGUGACGUAGUUUCUUUACCCCUUUGAGUUCGGCCAACUGGAGUUCUAGGAGGCACGGACGAUUCUGGACAUUUUCUUCUUCGAUAGCUCGGUCAGAAAGCUUCUUCGGAGCUUUGAAUAUUUUGAUUCCAUACGAAGAUGCAGAUCGAGAGACACCUCGUUGAGCGUCUGGAGACCCUCCUUACAAGCGAAGAACUAUCUUUUGGACUGUCAUAUUUUGUUUUAUGCUACGUAUAUAUGUUUAUAGAAUCUCUGCAUGUACAUUUUUGUGUUUUGUCCCUCCUAGAGGUUAACUUGGAGAUACAGGUGGUUUAUUUUGUGGUUUGAGUUUUAUUUUGGGUUGUAUAUAUAUAUAAAAUUAUAUACUCUGGCUGGCCUUAGCUUUGCAGGUCGAGUCUGGAGCUUGCUAUCUGAGUUUUGGAACUCUGAUAUGUAUAUAUGUUUUCAGUUUUCUUUCGA